rnacentral:rRNA from 1 species
CAGUAGCCGCGGGAAUACGUAGGGUGCAAGCGUUAAUCGGAAUUACUGGGCGUAAAGCGUGCGCAGGCGGUUUUGUAAGACAGAGGUGAAAUCCCCGGGCUCAACCUGGGAACUGCCUUUGUGACUGCAAGGCUAGAGUACGGCAGAGGGGGAUGGAAUUCCGCGUGUAGCAGUGAAAUGCGUAGAUAUGCGGAGGAACACCGAUGGCGAAGGCAAUCCCCUGGGCCUGUACUGACGCUCAUGCACGAAAGCGUGGGGAGCAAACAGGAUUAGAGACCCCAGUAGUCCCUGUCUCUUAUAC